rnacentral:tRNA from 1 species
GUAAGUAUAGUUUAACCAAAAUAUUAGAUUGUGAUUCUAAAGACAGGAGUUAAAAUCUCCUUACUGACC